rnacentral:rRNA from 1 species
AUUGAACGCUGGCGGCAGGCCUAACACAUGCAAGUCGAGCGGAGCGGCGGACGGGUGAGUAAUGCCUAGGAAUCUGCCUGGUCGUGGGGGAUAACGUCCGGAAACGGGCGCUAAUACCGCAUACUAUCAGAUGAGCCUAGGUCGGAUUGGCUAGUGGGUGGGGUAAUGGCCUACCAAGGCGACGAUCCGUAACUGGUCUGAGAGGAUGAUCAGUCAAACUGGAACGGGGACACGGUCCAGACUCCUACGGAGGGCAGCAGUGGGGAAUAUUGGACAAUGGGCGAAAGCCUGAUGCGGCCAUGCCGCGUGGGUGAAGAAGGUCUUCGGAUUGUAAAGCCUGUUAAGUUGGGAGGCGUUACCAACAGAAUAAGCACCGGCUAACUUCGUGCCAGCAGCCGCGGUAAUUC